rnacentral:snoRNA from 1 species
NUUUAAUGAUGAGGAACCAGAUAGGGACAACAGAUUCGUGACGAGAAAAGUCUUUUUAUAAUCAAGUUUUUAGUAGAGCUUUGAUAACAAUUCUACUGAUC